GGCAGGUCAGCAUACUGCCGUGAAUAACGUUCCCGGGCCCUUGUACACACCGCCCGUCACACCAUGAGAGUUGGGAAUACCCGAAGCCUGUGAGCUAACUUAUAGAGGCAGCAGUCGAAGGUAGAAUCAAUGAUUGGGGUGAAGUCGUAACAAGGUAGC
rnacentral:rRNA from 1 species